rnacentral:rRNA from 1 species
UACGUAGGGCGCAAGCGUUGUCCGGAAUUAUUGGGCGUAAAGAGCUCGUAGGCGGCUUGUCACGUCGGGUGUGAAAGCCCGGGGCUUAACCCCGGGUCUGCAUUCGAUACGGGCUAGCUAGAGUGUGGUAGGGGAGAUCGGAAUUCCUGGUGUAGCGGUGAAAUGCGCAGAUAUCAGGAGGAACACCGGUGGCGAAGGCGGCAUUCUGGACCGAUAUUGACGCUGAGGAGCGAAAGCCAGGGGAGCAAACGGG